GCACCUCACAGCAACCCUGUCAAUUCUGUGCAGUGUUUGAUACGGGGAAUGCUGGUGCUAUAGUGACUCAGUGUAAAUCCAGACGGACCUCCUCUUCCCGUGGAGACUGUCUCUACAACUUUGAUACAUAG
rnacentral:snoRNA from 1 species